GACGAACGCUGGCGGCGUGCUUAACACAUGCAAGUCGAACGGAAAGGCCCUGCUUUUGUGGGGUGCUCGAGUGGCGAACGGGUGAGUAACACGUGAGUAACCUGCCCUUGACUUUGGGAUAACUUCAGGAAACUGGGGCUAAUACCGGAUAGGAGCUCCUGCUGCAUGGUGGGGGUUGGAAAGUUUCGGCGGUUGGGGAUGGACUCGCGGCUUAUCAGCUUGUUGGUGGGGUAGUGGCUUACCAAGGCUUUGACGGGUAGCCGGCCUGAGAGGGUGACCGGGCACAUGGGGACUGAGAUACGGCCCAGACUGCGACGGGAGGCAGCAGUGGGGAAGAUUGCACAAUGGGCGGAAGCCGGAUGCAGCAACGCCGCGGGCGGGAUGACGGCCGUCGGGUGGGAAACCGCUUUCGCCUGUGACGAAGCGUGAGUGACGGUAAUGGGUAAAGAAGCACCGGCUAACUACGUG
rnacentral:rRNA from 1 species